rnacentral:lncRNA from 10 species
UCAGGAUUACGCAGGCAUACCUGGAAAGGAACUGGGCUUGGAGGAUGGUUGCACCUGAAAAAGAAAUCAGUCAGUUAGUGAACAAUGGCUAUAUGUGUCUUGGUCUGGCUUUGGUGUCGGGGCAUUUCCAGUCUCAUAAAAUGACUUUGCGUAACACAUGGAAACUAAUGGUGUUCUACAAUUGCUGAAGCAAGUGUAACACUAAAGAAGCCUUAUGGAAAGAUUCCUGUGGCUGACCCAGGAGUAGUGGUGAAUUUCUCCAUCAAGAUCCUGACUGCUACAACAUGUAAAGUCCCUGGCAUGUCUGGCUCCUAAGAAAUGAGUCUCUCCCUACAAACAAUGCCUGUCAAUGUCUUCCUCAAACCUUGCUUGGCUACGAAGUGGUGUUCACAGUCAAGGAGAAGAGUCCUGACCUUAAUAACCUGAAUCUGGACAACAAUGAAGAACCUCUGAAAAAAGUGGGAAAAUAACAGUCCCCAAAGUAGAGAAUAAUAUCCACAUCUUUCUUGGAAAUUCAGCCCUGAAAGCGAACCUGCAAUAAGUACAGUCUAUAUUCAUUGCUCUUACAUGCUGCCCCUUCUGUAUGCCGCCAUCUGCAACACUGCUUUCUCAUUCCGUGUUUUGGAUAACUGCAGAGUCCUCUAACACAUAUGUGAUGGUUAAUACUGUGUCAACCUGAUUGGAUUGAAGGAUACAAAUUAUUGAUCCUGGGUGUGUUUGUGAGGGUGUUGCCAAAGAAGAUUAACAUUUGAAUGAGUGGGCUGGGAAAGGCAGACCCACCCUUAAUCUGGGUGGGCACCAUCUAAUCAGUUGCCAGCAUGCCUAGAAUGUAAAGCAGGCAGAAAAAUGUAAAAAGAGAGACUGGCCUAGCCUCCCAGCCUACAUCUUUCUCCUGUGCUGGAUGCUUCCUACCCUUGAACAUCGGACUCCAAGUUCCUCGGUUUUGGAACUUGGACUGGCUCUCUUUGCUCCUCAGCCUGCAGUCUAUUGUGGGACCUUGCGAUUGUGUGACUUCAUACUUAAUAAACUGAUAUGUAUGUAAAUACUUAAUAAACUCAUAUAUAUUUAUUCAUACUUAAUAAACUCAUACAUGUAUAUUCCAUUAGUUCUAUCCCUCUAGAGAACCCUGCCUAAUACAACACGAGGAGUAGUAGCAGACCACAAGAAAGAAAAGCAGUUUGUUUUCUGUCACUGAUCUGCAAAAUAUACAUCUCUAAAGGAGUUUCUCCCAAAGCCACUGGUUACAUGAUUGGGUAAAAUUGGAACAAGAACAAUCAGAGGUUGACUGAGUCCUUUAAAAACGGUAUUUAAAAGUUCAGUAAGGUUUUACAUGGACUAUAAAGUCUCUAAACGGUUUUCUUAUUUAUAACUGCUCUACCAGCAUCUCCUUCAGUAAAAUCAAAAUAUUCAUAUUUUGGCUUGCAAAAAAUGAAACGAAUGUGAAUUAUGUAUCUGCCAAAUAAUACAGGAGGAUUUAUGUUUUUAUGUGAUACACUUCUCCUAUUUUGUUUUCUUUUUCCUGUGCCCUGGCUUUUUUCCACCUCCACUGGCUUCAUUUCUACAUUCAUUUUUCAUGUAUUCAAACAUACUUUUCCUAAGCUUCAUGUUAUAUUAGCCUCAUUCCAAAUACCAAAUAUUUUAAAUUUAAUCCUUGAAUAUAUGCAAGAUAUUAACUUUUAUGGUGCUGUUUCCAUAACCCUUGACACUGUAUAUUUUAAAGGACUUUAAAAAUUUAUGACAAUUGUUCUUAGUUUUGAGAAAAUAUGUGCUCAGUAUUUUAAAUCAUUAGUGCUAACAUGCAUCAAUGUGAUAUUUCUUUUAUAUGUAAAUAUAAGCGAUCUCUUUGGAUGUUUUGUAGUCUUUUUUAUCUGCUUCACAACUGUUUAGCUUGCAUAUUUUAAGAAUUG